CAUUUGCUUUUCAAGGUUGGUUAUUUCUUUUACCAUGUAUUCGUUUCUAUUAUAACGCAUGUUUAGUUGGGAUUAGAAAACAUGUUUUUGUCGGCAUUAGGUAUCUAUAUAUGCAGUAGGUAUCUACCAUGUAUCAGUUGGGAUUCCAAUGGCAUGUUUGAAUAAUUAAUAAGUGAUGUUUAUGAAUAGAGGUUUUGUUUUUAUUAUAUAAUCAUGUUUUCAAGUUUCAAUAUAGAUUGUUUUUGUCAUCUAUAGAUUGUCAUUUGUUUACAUACAAAUAAUAGUACAUACUAGUAUCCUGAUUAGUUUGUACACACAACGUAAGAUUUUAUGUUAAUUCCUACACACAUACAGAUUAAUGAUUGUAUUAGUUGUUUCUACAAAUUAAACACAUAGUACAGACUAGUAACUUGAUUAGUUGUGAGAAUUAUAUAUUAUACGAAAUAAGUUGAUGUAAUGGUAACUCAUAAUGUUAACAAAAUCUGUAGUUAAAUAAAAAUUGAAAUCUGAAAAUAAAUUGAAAGCUGAAAAUAAAUUGAAAGCUGAUAUAUAUAAAGUCAUUAUGUUGAAAACAUCUAAUUACCACUUUUCAGAGAAUGGGUAAAUAUUCCUAUUAUGUUGUGCGUCGUGGGUUCUGUCCGGGUAUCUACAGAACUUGGGAGGAGUGCAAGUCACAGACGGACGGCUUUAGCAACGCUGACUGGCGUGGUGCUUAUACCAUUGCUGAAGCAAGGCAUAUGCUUCAGCAACAUCUUACAAAUGGUUUCUGUCAACCUUCUGGCCUUAUGUGUGAUCCCAAUCAUCUUAUGUCCCAGUCUUACAUUCCUACGCCAGAACCGUCUGAACAUUCUGGUCAAUCUUACCAAUCCGCCGCUCAAUCUCAAGCACCUCUAUCUCCACUAGUCAGUCAUCGGCCCUUAAACAAUGUUGUUGUGGUGGACGACUUUUGGUGGUUGGUCAAGAAGUUGGUGUUGGUUAUGUUGGUUGUUGUUAUUGCAUUGUUAAUUAAAUUGUUAUUUGUCUUGUGAGAUUUAUGUAAAAAGUGAAAUUGAUGAUGUAAAUUAUUAACCAGUGUUUAUAAUAAUUUCUCAUUUAAAAAGCACUCUUACGCAUUCAUACACUACUAACAAGUAAAAUUAUUAACCAAAUAAACUGACCACAUGUUCUGUAGAAUGCCUACCGAGGAUGAACGUAUCGUUGCAGCUACUAUUGUAAUUGUAGCUGUCGAUUGGUUAAUGCACUAUAUUGGAACGAGACGUGAACGUGUUCCUAGAGGUCCUAGGGCUCCCUAUACCUAUAAUAGAGAUUCGUCGCGUGGGCGAACCUUAGCCCGGUUCUACACCGAUAACGACAACGAUUGCCAUGACCAAUUGAGGAUGAGGCGUUUUGCAUUCCAUCGGUUAUGUGCUAGGUUGAAGACUAUGGGUUUAUCCGACUCUCGGUAUGUGUCAGUUGAAGAACAAGUUGCAAUGUUCUUGCUCAUAGUCGGCCACGACAAUCGGUGUAGAAGAACACGUCACGAGUUUAGGCGAUCUGGACAAACCGUGAGCCAUUACUUCCACUUGGUUUUGAAUGCUUGUCUAAAAUUGUAUAGGCAAGUGGUUGUCAACGCCACGGCUGAGAACUCACCCCUCAAUGACGGUCCUGGGGAUGUCUUUUGGCAUCAGUAUUUCAAGGUACGAAAAAUUAUUUCGUAUUUUAUCAUUUUCUUAUAGGUACGAAAAACUCUUUCGUAUUUUUCUGACCAAGUAAAUUGUUAAUUAGGACGCUGUAGGCGCAAUCGAUGGUACCCACUUCCCCACCUUAGUGCCCCUUGAUGAUCAACCGAGGUAUCGUAAUCGGAAAGGAGUGAUAUCCCAGAAUGUUCUAAUUGGAUGUACGUUCGACAUGAGAUUCACUUACGUUCUAGCUGGGUGGGAAGGGUCGGCGCAUGAUGGGCGGUUGUUGAGAUGUGCGGUUACUCGUCAAGGUAGGAGAUUAACCUUGCCCCCUGGUAAGUAUUACCUUGCGGAUGCUGGCUUUGCAUUAAGUCCCGGCUUCCUCACACCUUAUCGUGGGGUUCGAUACCAUCUCAAAGAACAAGGACAUCGGGCUGUUGAAACUGAUGAAGAACUGUACAACUGUCGGCAUUCCAGGCUACGUAAUGUUGUGGAGAGGAUCAUAGGGGUGUUGAAGAAACGCUUCGCUUAUUUGAGGAAGGCACCAUUCCAUGAUGUGAAGACACACACAAAGAUAAUAUUGGCGUGUUGUGCAAUUCACAACUUCCUCAAAGAUAUCGAUCCAGCUGAUGUAGUGGAACCUGAUUUAGAGGAACCCGAAGAACCCGUUCCCCCCGAGGCAGAUAAUGCGCAAGGCGGUGGAAUACUCAUAUCCGCAUCACGGUCUUGGAGUAAGUGGCGUGAUGACUUGAAGAAGGAAAUGUGGACUAAUUAUCAGAAUUACAAUGAGCUGGAAUAGCGUUGAGGUUUCGUUGCUUUUAUUAGGGUUGUGAGUGUGGUAGUGUUGUGCUUGAGUAUUUGAUGAGUUGUUUGAAAUAAUUUGUUUGGGUUGUUUGAAAUAAGUUCGAAUAAUGGAAGAGGUAAUUUGCCAAUAAUUGUAAUAAGUUGGAAUAAUUUGUGGUUUGGACUAUUUGAUAGUGUUAUGAGCGAGAUUAUGUUUGGAUGUUCCAUUUGGACUAUUUGAUAAGUUGUUUGGAAUAAUACGCUUGUGUAUGGUUCAUAUCUGUGUAUAACUGUGAGUGUGGGAUGAUUAGGUACAACUAUGUCGAACGGACAGUUCAAGAAGCCUAGAAAGACCAGGAAGGGCAAUGGACAAGAUUCAGCGGACCCUUACUUCCCAACUGACAAGCCAGUUAAGUGCCACAUAAGGUGGACCAAACAAAUGGAAGAGGUGAUGUUGAACACUUUGUAUGAAGAAGUGUUGAGAAACGGUAAGAGAGCUGACAAUGGCUUAAGAACCGAAUCAUUGAAAGCAGCUGCAGAUGGUGUCAAUUCAGCCCUCCGUAUGAAUGUUAGUUCUGAACAUGUACGGACUCGCCUGAAGACACUUAGGAAGGACUACAAGAUUGUAAAGGAACUUCUGGAUUUGUCUGGUUUGGGAUUUACUUUUGACACCGAAAACAAGACUGUUAUUGCUGCAGAUGAGGAUGUUUGGGAACGGUACUUUGUGGUAAGGCACAUUUGUUUAUGAGUUUUGUAAUUGUUGGGUCGUAAACUUGACAAAAUGAUUAACACAAGUGUGCUUUGUAGGCUCAUCCUGAAUCACGUAAUGUUCGUGGGAAGCAUUUUCCAUACUUUGAACAAUUGAGCCUCAUCAUCGGCAACGAAACUGCAACUGGUGAAGGAGCAUUCGCAGGUGAUGAAGUUGAUGAUGAACAAGUUGAGGGGUCACCCGCAGGCAGUGGUAAGAUACAGCCCUUUUGUGUUUAUUAAAAUCGUUGUACAUUUGAAUCUGGGGCUGAUUCGUAGAUUGUGAAUGUAUACAAUCGCAGAUGGAUUGGGGGCUGAUUCGUACUCUUACAUGGAUGAUGGUGCCGGUGUUGGAACGUUCGACACAAGUGCAACCGGUGUAUCAAAUAAUGAGAGCUCAAGCAACUGCAGUGAUUCUGCCCCUCGCAUGCACCCAAUUCCACCCCCAGUGCAACCUGUUCAGUCCAAGCGCAAGAAGUCGCGUUUCGGACCCCAGGAACAACCAAGCAACUCUGAGUAUGCACAGGGCAUCAUGGAUGCUGUUAAGACCUUGGCAACGGCAUUUGCUGGUCCGAACAUCGAUGAAUUGUGUGAUGCAAUCAAGGUUGUAAGCAAGGGGGACAGAGUCCUGUAUCUGAAGGGUCUCGACUUUCUAGGUGUCGAGGACAAGCAAGCGAAGAUAUUUCUUGGGAUGGACGCUGAUCUGAGGGCUGAUUGGUUGGUUGAUAAGCUUAACUAUGUUAAGCCUUUCAAUGGGGAUGAGUGGGCUGAUUCGUAGUUGUCUUCAUCUGUCUUGAUGUGUGUCUUGAUAAUCCUGGGGAACUGAUAUGACUGCAUUUUCUUAACUUUGUCUAAACUAGUUAACUUUGUCAGUGGUUUGUAUAAACUAAUGUAAAACAGAUAUGACUUCUUUUCUGAUGCAAUCAAGGUUUGAACUUUUGUUUAUCUGAAUGGCUUGAAUGGUUUAGUCCUGAAAUAUUCUUGUCACAUUUUAUUACUUUGUGUUGUCGAGUUGUGUCGAGUUCAGAAUGUUGGAAUUUUUUGAAUGAUAUAUAUAUAUAUAUAUAUAUAUAUAUAUAUAUAUAUAUAUAGAGAGAGAGAGAGAGAGAGGAACCGGUUGUAUGUGUGUGAUGUAAACUGACUGCGAUGGAUUGUUCCAGUCAGUGGGAAUGCUUUAGUCCUUUAAAUAUUCUUGUCACAUUUUAGUACUUUGUGUUGUCGAGUUGUGUCGAGUUCAGAAUGUUGGAAUUUUUUGAAUGAAUGGAAUGUUUUUGUUCAGGAACGUACGUACGCUGUUAGAAUGAAUGGAAUUUUUUGUUCAGACAGAUAACUUUGCAGGUUGGGAACGUACGUACGUAGUGAAGGCGUACGUACGUCCCGUAGCACAGAUGUUGGUUUUUGAAGCUGAACGUACGUACGUGAUUUCGACGUACGUUUGAAGCUGAACGUACGUACGUGAUUUCGACGUACGUACGUCCUCUCUUGGUUUAGGGUUUAUGGGCCAGUUUGUAAACUGACUGCGAUGGAUUGUUCCAGUCAGUGGGAAUGCUUUAGUCAUAAAUAUUCUUGUCACAUUUUAGUACUUUGUGUUGUCGAGUUGUGUCGAGUUCAGAAUAUAUAUAUAUGUUGUAGUUGUAUGUGUCUAAUGUAAACUGACUGCGAUGAAUUAUUUCAGUCAGUGGGAAUGGUGCGAAUUAUUCACACCCCAAAAAAUCCCCGUCUAGGACGGCGUUUGUUCGCGUGGACUCCAGAUACGGACCACACGAUGUGCACUGCUAUGCUGGCAGACGAGACACCAGGUCCACUUAUGGUCCGUCUUAGGUCGGGAAUGGUAAAGGCUUCUGAUGUUUUAAAUCAACACACUAGGCUGGAUUUGUGUGCUGAAAACAUAUGGGCUCGUUUGCGUUAUUUGAAACGUUUGGCGAACCUUAUCAAUGAGUUGUGUGAAGAGCAUCCAGGAUUUCAUUGGGACAAUGAAAGAAGUACGGUGAUUGCAACGGACGAUGACUGGAUUGCCCUUGAGGAAGAGAUACCUGAGUAUUACACACAUAUUAGGAACAUGUAUGUUCCAGCGUACCCGGUGUACUUGGAACUAUCAGCAAAGUAUCGAUUGUAGGCAAAGAGUGUUUGCGUGAGGUUUAAAAAGUGUUUUACAAAAAACUGGAUGUCGGUGGUAACUGUCUUCAUUUGACAUCUAUGAGUAGGUGGUAAUUGUUUUAUGAAAAACAUGUACUGUAUAAUGUUUUGGUAAUAUUAUAAUUUUUAUCAUAUUUUGUAAAGUCAAUGCUUCAUUGUAUUAGAACGUUAUCUGACAUUGUGUUAGGAUUAGAAUCAAACUCAGAUAAUGGUGUGGUGGACUCCUAAGGAAGACGUGAACUUGUGUUUCGCGUGGGUAUCGAUAUACACUUGUCCUCCGGUUAAUCAUGCCGGUACAAGUUAUUGGACAGAUAUUUCGGCUCGUUUCCACGAGAUGGAGGGAGUUGUUGAAAGAAAGGAACUAGGCCACUUAGCUAGUCGAUUUCAAGACAUUUGGGAGUGCACAGAGAUAUUGGUUAGUUUAAUAGACUUCAUCCGCCUAAAACGAACUAUUAUCACUAACGAAGAUGAAAGGAUCCGAGAAGCGUGCAAUUUAUACAAAAUUAACCAAUACGGGCGGUUUGAAUUCCUCCCUUGUUUGCCAAUAAUCGAACCAUUCAUGCAUUGUGACAACCUUGGGUGCGAUGGUUUGAUGAAAAUGCACAAGGGAAUGGGAAACAAUGACAAGCAAUGGGUAUGCUUUGCAAAAUGCGCUAAUCAAGCAUGCCCAGGAAUUAUAUUCUUGUAUCCAUUUCAUGUAUCGCCACCAUCUGGAGGAGACCUUGAGAUGAUUUGUGCAAAAUGUCUUCAAAACCCUUGUCAUGGUGAUUGCGCAAACUAUUGGAAGCACAUUUCUUUACCACCACCUGAAGAUGGUGUUUGUUUGCACUGCUUAGGCAAUCCAUGUACGUGGGAUUGUGCCAAUUACUGUGAUUGUUGUAGUCGUGACUAGACAUUUAUGUUAUAUGUAAGACACAUUUUCAUUUAUUAUGUAAUAUGUAACACACAUUUUCAAAUAGUAUUGUAACUUUCGUUUUGAUAUGAAUUCAGUAAUGGUCGUGAAGUGCUUUGUAUUCCUUAUCAUGUAAUGGUCGUAAAGUGCUUUGUAUUAAUUAUCUUGUGUAUGGAACAUAUUGUAUAACUUACGCCGUUGCGGAUUAACAUUGUCGUGUAACAAAUGGUUGCUUAUAUUUUGUAUGGAACAUUGCUAGUCUAAUUGCAACAAAUUGUUGCUCAUCAUGUGUAGCAUUCUUUACGUAUGUUGAGUAAUACAUUUGUAAACUUAUGGGUAUUGCAAUAUGUGUUACAGAGAACCAAGCAAUGGCGCCCAACUUGAGGCCCAUCGUGAGAGAUAACCCUUUCUGGGUCAAGCAAGUUACAAAGGGACAUGUAACCAAGGGAUGCGUAAUGGUAAGCAAAUUCCUAAUUAUGUAUGGACAUAGAUAAAAUGAUGGGCUUUGGGCUGUUAGUUGGGCCUCGCAGUGAUGGCUAGUAAUGUUGAUAUAUAUGGCAAGAAAUGUGCACAUAUAUAUGGGCUGCUACACGUGCAGAAAACUGUUUGAUAUAUACUGUUGAUGUAUGGAAUAAUUGUUCGACAGAACUGUUUGAUAUGUGGCUAGUAAUGUUGAUAUAUAUUGUUGAUAUAGGGCAGAAAUUUUAUAUAUACUGUUGAUAUAUGGAAUUGUUGGACAGAACUGUUUGGAUUCAUGGCAGAAAUUUUAUAUAACCAUGCCUAGUAAUGUUGAUAUAUAGUGUUGGUAUAUGGCAGAAAAUCCCAGCUGCGAACAAAUACUUAUUCGACAACUGCAACCGGGUUGUACUAAUUUUGCCUGGUGAACAAUCUUUUGCCAUUGACAUUGCCAAUGACCAACACGGU
rnacentral:lncRNA from 1 species